GUCUACAGCCAUACUACCCUGAACGUUCCCAAUCUUGUCUGAUCUCAGAAGCUAAGCAGGGUCAGGCCUGGUUAACACUUGGAUGGGAGAAAGGGACCCAAGUUAACCAGUAGAUG
ensembl:rRNA 5S_rRNA 5S ribosomal RNA